rnacentral:rRNA from 1 species
CCUACGGUGAGCAGCAGUGGGGAAUAUUGGACAAUGGGGGGAACCCUGAUCCAGCGACGCCGCGUGAGUGAAGAAGUAUUUCGGUAUGUAAAGCUCUAUCAGCAGGGAAGAAAGAAAUGACGGUACCUGACUAAGAAGCCCCGGCUAACUACGUGCCAGCAGCCGCGGUAAUACGUAGGAGGCAAGCGUUAUCCGGAAUGACUGGGCGUAAAGGGUGCGUAGGUGGUUUGACAAGUUGGUAGCGUAACUCCGGGGCUCAACCUCGGCACUACUACCAAAACUGUCGGACUUGAGUGCAGGAGGGGCAAAUGGAAUUCCUAGUGUAGCGGUGGAAUGCGUAGAUAUUAGGAGGAACACCAGUGGCGAAGGCGAUUUGCUGGACUGUAACUGACACUGAGGCACGAAAGCGUGGGGAGCAAACAGGAUUAGAUACCCGAGUAGUC